rnacentral:rRNA from 1 species
GAUGAACGCUGGCGGCGUGCCUAAUACAUGCAAGUCGAGCGAACGGACGAGAAGCCUGCUUCUCUGAUGUUAGCGGCGGACGGGUGAGUAACACGUGGAUAACCUACCUAUAAGACUGGGAUAACUUCGGGAAACCGGAGCUAAUACCGGAUAAUAUUUUGAACCGCAUGGUUCAAAAGUGAAAGACGGUCUUGCUGUCACUUAUAGAUGGAUCCGCGCUGCAUUAGCUAGUUGGUAAGGUAACGGCUUACCAAGGCAACGAUGCAUAGCCGACCUGAGAGGGUGAUCGGCCACACUGGAACUGAGACACGGUCCAGACUCCUACGGGAGGCAGCAGUAGGGAAUCUUCCGCAAUGGGCGAAAGCCUGACGGAGCAACGCCGCGUGAGUGAUGAAGGUCUUCGGAUCGUAAAACUCUGUUAUUAGGGAAGAACAUAUGUGUAAGUAACUGUGCACAUCUUGACGGUACCUAAUCAGAAAGCCACGGCUAACUACGUG